rnacentral:rRNA from 1 species
UACGUAGGGUGCAAGCGUUUGUCCGGAAUUAUUGGGCGUAAAGAGCUCGUAGGCGGUUUGUCGCGUCGAAUGUGAAAACCCGGGGCUCAACCCCGGGCCUGCAUUCGAUACGGGCAGACUAGAGUUCGUAGGGGAGUCUGGAAUUCCUGGUGUAGCGGUGAAAUGCGCAGAUAUCAGGAGGACACCGGUGGCGAAGGCGGCUCGCUGGAUCUUUUCUGACGCUGAGGCGCGAAAGCUAGGGGGAGCAAACGGG